rnacentral:rRNA from 1 species
UACGUAGGGUCCGAGCGUUGUCCGGAAUUACUGGGCGUAAAGAGCUCGUAGGUGGUUUGUCGCGUUGUUCGUGAAAACUCACAGCUCAACUGUGGGCGUGCGGGCGAUACGGGCAGACUAGAGUACUGCAGGGGAGACUGGGAAUUCCUGGUGUAGCGGUGGAAUGCGCAGAUAUCAGGAGGAACACCGGUGGCGAAGGCGGGUCUCUGGGCAGUAACUGACGCUGAGGAGCGAAAGCGUGGGGAGCGAACAGG